rnacentral:lncRNA from 1 species
UUAGUCAGUGCUCUAGCCUCAUUCAUCACCAAAAAUGUCAUAACGCUUAAGAAACCUCAUGAAAGCAGCAAAUGUGGAUAAGCCUUCAGCUGAAGGCCUAACAUCAUUUAGCUCCUCCAAAUCCGUACUUGAGAAAAAGCCUUAGAUUUAUAGGGAAUGCCCUCUUUUUGGUUUUGCUUUUGUUUUUUGUUUUUUAAAGUACUAUGACACUAGAACCUUUGCAGAGGAUCCAACUACAAUGUAAGGUUGAUCUUCCAGUAUCCAGGAAUCAGAUUCCUCAGGAAUUCAGGCACAAGUAGGUUCAGCAACUGCUUUGCCCAUCCUGAACUGGCCAAGACCUUUGCCAUUUUUGUACCAGUGUUUGUGGUAGAAGCUAUCAGUCGUUCUCUACCACAUGACCAGUGUGCAAUGAUUACACCAUCAUGGUAAGGAAAGGCAAACUGCAGAUUGCCUGGAAGAAUUCUUCAAUGGAGGAUUUAUGGAAAAUUGGUCCCCCAGUUUUAACUGAUUAAAAUGUGGAUAUGACUAAGAUUUCACCAAGAAGAUCAAAUUUAUUGUCUGCUAAAGAUGUCUAGAAUUUGCUUCCCUGCUUCUUUUAAAAAGUAGCUUUUAAUCUGUGUCACAUGACAGUUAGGUGAAUGUUUCCAGCCUUCUGAUUAUCAGUUGGUCACUGCCUUCUCCCCGUUGCUCUGAUUUGUACACUGAUAAAUGCCUUAUCCCUAAAGCUACCUUACUCUUAAGAGUGCAGUUUACUAAGUGGGAAGGCUGGUAAACAGACUGAUCAUUUUAGGAAAGAAUGGAAAGCUUUUAUAGAGGGUCUCAACUUGGUUUACCUCUGCACGGACAGCAAAAUAAAGAAAGCAAAUUUGUAUUGCUUCCCAGGCCAACAGCUGGGACUUCUUUAUUAUAGUUUAUGAAUAACUGAAUAAGUAUUCAUGUACAUGAAGAUCUAGUUGAAAACUUUCUGUGAUCAUCUCAAGAAGAUGUCUGUUAUUUCCAUAAGCUCCUUUACUUGUGGAAAUGAAAUGAAUUGGCUCAUUUCUUUUUCUCAAAGGAUGUCCUAAAAAUGCCUAUGAUGCAGAGAGACAGCUCAUAAAGCUGUAUAAAGAGUGUGCCUGGAUAGGAAUUAUUCCAUAGGCACCAGCCAAUAAGAUGACCACUCAUGAGGUGAUCAGAGCUAGAUGUGAAUCAUCAUUGGCAUACAAAAGAUGGGUAUAGUGGAGUCUUCAGCCAGCCAGAUGGAAUGUGACUCUUUUAAAAGUGCACACAAUCUUUGUCUUUGGCUGAAUUCACAGGACUUAAAGAUCUUUGUAUUUACAAUAGCUGAGGUCAUUGUCAAAAAUGGUAUGGUUUUGUGGGAUAGUGGAGUUUAACUUGAUCAUUUACCUCCAGUCUUGUUAUAGAGAUAGGAAAAUAAGGAAAUGAAGAUUCUUUAGUCUUAGAAUGUAGCUGUUAUAAUUGCAUUCCAGCUGCUGUGUUUGCAGUCUGGUAUUCACAAAUGUCUCUGCCAUUUCCUGCAUUAACAAAAGGCUGCCCUUAUCUGUAUAUGAGGACAGAGUUCAAUCAAAAUGGGGGAUACCAAGCCUUCUGGUUUGCAGAAAUUAGGAGUUCUGAGCUUUGUACUUUGAGUCACUUUUUAUAAAGUUUAUCAAUGUUUUAGUGAAAUGCAGUCAACUCUGAUUUAUCCUUGAAAAAAAUCUUAAAAUCAUCUUUGUGAUGAUGGACUUGUCUGUGACUUACCUCACCCUGUUAAGAUCUCCCUUGUGUUCUCGGACUUGUAAGUGUUGAAUAGCUUAUAUUUGGCUCUUAAGAGUGCAGUUUGUGAAUGAAAACAAAAGGUUUUUUUUCCUUAGAUACAGUGUCUUUUAGGAAUACAUAAUUAUUUUGAGAUUCAUCACUGCUGCUUUUUAAUAACUUUAUAGUGCUAUACCAUGUUUGGUUUUGUAACUAUACAACAAUUUAUUGAUCUUUUUUAUUCAUUCGGCUCUUGGUUGAAUCCUUUCUUGAGCUGUUACAUAUUAUGGAUAUGAGCAUUUGAUUCAAUAUGCUUACAUUUUUAAAUUCCUCUCGAGCCAGUAAUUAAGUAUAUGUGAAUGCUUCUAUUUUUAAGAAAGUGUCAAACUGGUAUAGAUUGCUCUAGAUCAGUGGUUCUCAACCUUUCUGAUGCUGCAAUUCUUUAAUACAGUUCCUCAUGCUGUGGUAACCCUCAACCAUAGAAUUAUUUUUGUUGCUACUUCACAACUGUAAUUUUGCUGCUGGUAUGAAUUGUAAAUAUUUGUGUUUUCCUAUGGUCUUAGGUGACACCUGUGAAAGGGUCAUUUGACUCCCAAAAGGGUCACGACCCAUUGAGAACAACUGAUGUAGACAGUGUAUGAACAUUCUUGCUAGUACUUGUGUGGUUAAUGAGUUUGCUUUGAGCCAUUUGAAUAGCUGUAUAAUAACACACUGUAUAGUCUUAAUUGCUUUUUUCGUGUUUCAUGAUACUGAAUAUUUUUGUGUGUUUACUUGCCAAGUGUAUUUUUUAAAACUUGUUUUUUUGCCUAUUUUCAAGUGAAAAUUCAUGUUACUGUCCUUUUCAUUAAUAAAUAGAUGUACACUAAC